rnacentral:lncRNA from 1 species
AAGCAAUCACUUCGCCACCACCUUCCUACUACAGGUCAUCGUUCAGCUAAAGACUAUUUAAAAUCAAACAGGAAAAGUAAUGACACUAUCACUUCAUUUAAAUAAAUUUACCUUUAAAAUACCUCCCUACAUUGUCCUUAUUUUUUUCAUUUCUCUCCAGACAAAUGGAUACAGUCUCUGAUUUUAGAAGGCAGUUCUCCCGAGCCCCCAGUGGGAUUAAUGUCACACCCGGAGUUUCUUCUCUUCCGGUGGCUGGGACACGGUCAGACACAGAAUGAUGAACUUGGACAUGGACUCAGAUUAAGCGGGAAGCUCCCGCCAAAUGAGGGAAGAAGCAAAGAAAGUGGAAGGUAUGGGGCCAGGCAUGGUGGCUCACACCUGUAAUCCUACACUUUGGGAAGCCGAGGCAGACAGAUUGCUUGAGCUCAGGAGUUUGAGACCAGCCUGGGCAAUAUGGUGAAACCCCGUCACUACCAACUUGACUGAAUUGAGGGAUGCCUAGAUGGCUGGUGAAGCAUUGUUUCUAGCUGUAUCUGUGAGGGUGUUUCCAGAGGAGAUUGACCUGUGAGUCAGUGGACUGAGAGAGGAAGACCUACCCUCAGUGUGGCAAGCACCAUACAGUCAGCUGAGGGCUAGGCUGGGGCAAACAGGAAAGAGAGGGAAUUCUCUCUCUUUGCUCUCUCCCUUCUGGAACAAGACACCUUUUUCCUUCCUGCUUUUGGACAUCAGAUUGCACCAUAUUCAUCUUUUAGACACUGGGAUUCGCACGAGUGGCUUCCCAGGAACUCUUGGGCUUUUAGCCUCAGAGUGGGGGCCAAACCCUCUGCUUCCCUGGUUCUGAGGCUGCUGGGA